rnacentral:lncRNA from 1 species
AUUUUGAUUUGUUUAACACUUUUUUGGUUGCUACAUGAUUCCAUAUGUGUUAUUUCAACGUUUUGAUGUCUUCACUAUUAUACUGCAAUGUAGAGAAAUGGUCAAAAUAAGAAAAACCCUUGAAUGAGUAGAUAUGUCCAAAGCUUUGACUGGUACUGUAUUUGCACAUCCGCUUGCAUGUGUGUGAAUGUGUGUUUCCUAUUUCUCUUCCCUUACUCGCUCUUUGGUUCUCUCUUUCCCCCUCCUCUCUUCUCGCUCCAUGGAAUGGCAGUGCAGGGGAAGAUGGACAUCCAGAGUGGCAUACAGAUGGCAAUGGAGACUCUCCCCUCCUUCCCCCAACAGUCGGGUACCCAUCAGCAGAGCGAGCCAGAGGACGGCCAGACAGAGGGGAGUGCCAGGCUUACCGCUGACAAUCACAGCAAGGACACCCAGCCAGCUGCUGGCCACCAAGAUGACAAACCCAGUGCAGCAGUGAGAGGAUACCACAGCAGUAAGACGGCCAUGAGCCCAGCAGGCUUCAGCUCCCAGUGGACCAGCGGUGUUCAGGAGACCUGGAGUGGCCACACCGUCUCCUACCCCCGUGCCAGCCUGCACUACCCGGCCCACCACCACCCCACGCAUGCCAGCUACGGCUACUGCCUGGGACAGCCUGCAUGAUAGCGACUCUGACUGGGAGGCCCCGGUGCCCAUCCCCCACUGAAGCGGGUUCAUCCAGCCAGACUCCUGCUGUCUCCAGCUCCACACCUACCCCCGCCCGGCCAUCUAGAGGUGUGAAGACAGGAACAAAGAAGCGGAGGAAGGGAAGUGAGGAAUGACUGUACCUCAGUGCCAAAAGGGCAAAGCAUGGAGGCGUCGUUGUGUUCUUUGUCACAUGAAGUCCCCCAUCACCUGCACCAGUUGUUCAGUUUGCCUCUGCUUUARAGCAGAAAGAGACUGCUAUGGGACAUGGCACAGGCAGCAAAAGAUUGUGUAGAGGGCUUCUGAACGGUCUACCCCUGUUUUUUUUUAAAUAUAUUUUUUCUAAUAUUUUUUAAAACAUUUUUAGAUUUUUUUUUGUGUGUUAGAAUUGCUUUUUGAUAAGUUGUAUAUAUUUAUUUGCAAUGUUGUAUAUAGUUAUAGGUCAUUUCACCAAUUCGGCCACUUGGGUACAUUUGGGCAACUUGUGUGGGACACCUAGGUGACUUCAUGCUAAAUGUCAUGUAGCUCACCCAUUCCUGAAGUUAUCAGUCUGAAACUUUGCACACCUACAGUUUCCCUUUUGUGUUAUCCAUCAAAAUUAUCUCCAGCAUCCUAUCUGACUAUGUGGCUAUUCUAGUACAUAUGAAAGAUGAUGCUACAACAAUAAAAAACAGAAAACGUAUGCUCUUUCUUUCUCUUUUCUUCCACCAGAUCUACUGUGUUAUAUUCUCCUACAUUCAAUUAACAUUUCCACAAACUUCAGAAUGUUUGCAUUCAAAUUGAUACCAAGAAUAUGCAUAUCCUUGCCUCUGGGGCUGAGCUACAGGCAGU